rnacentral:rRNA from 1 species
UACAGAGGACUGCAAGCGUUAUUCGGAAGUUCACUGGGCGUAAAGGGUUGCGCAGGCGGGCCGUGUAGUGGUGAAGGCGUGAAAGCCCGGAGCUCAACUCCGGAAUUGGCACCUCAAACUACACGGCUAGAGCAUUGGAGAGGGUAGCGGAAUUCACGGUGUAGCAGUGAAAUGCGUAGAUAUCGUGAGGAACACCAGAGGCGAAAGGCGGCUACCUGGACAAUUGACUGACGCUCGAGGCAACGGAAAGCGUGGGGAGCAAAAGGG